GAACUAUCUGCUACUGUUGUUAAUGUUCCAAUGGUUCUCCGAGCUAGGAGAGGCAAUAGUAAAGUUACUAAUCUACUCCAUCUCCUGACCUCAUCUCAUGAUGUCAUUAGAAGAGAAUGUCACACAUCACAUUCACUGGCGUGGAUUGGUCGUAUGGUUGCAUCCUCUUUUUUCUUAGAAAAGUCUAGGAAAGUGUUGUUCAAUCCUUGUAGCUGGACAAAAGAAGCCAAGAAAAGAACAUGUAGGUCAUUCCCUUUACUUUCGAACGGAACAUGUGAAUUCUAAGGUUUAACCAUAGAAUUGUAACACUGCACUAAAAUUAUUUCUAUGAUUGUCCCAAAUGUGUUCCAGAAAACUUAAACAUUAUGUGGAUGCCUCCCUCUUCCUUGGAACCUAUUUUAAAUUUAUUUUCUUUAGCAGGAAGUUAUACAAAUACAUUGAUAGUAACAGAGAACGAAACCAGGAUAGUACUUAUUGCAACGUUUUAUGUGGAAGUAUAAGAUUUUAUCUCCAUUCAAUCUAAUUGGUCAUUGGAAUGCUCUUGGAGUUUGGAUUUGAUUUCCCAGUGGUUCAGAUGAUGAUGAUGGUGCAUCCCGACCAAUGUGAUACUAGGAGAACCGUGACUCCAUCAAUGGUGACAAAUUUAUUGAACAGUGACCAAAAGUGCUGAUUCAGAUGUCCCACGUCCACACCUGAUUUGCUUUGUUAUUUAGGCAUUUUCUGAUGCUAUCCAACUCCCCAUUUGUAUGUACCCAGAAACAUUUUCUCUAUAGCUAUCACCCAGGACCUAAGAUAACUCAUUGUGUUCAGACGGUAUGUGCAUGCAAAUGUUUCAUCUAUAUUCCCUUUGAAGACUGUCGAUGUCAUGUAUUAUGCAAUUAUGUGUAAACCGUCUAUUACCUAUUGUAUUACAAAACUAUGCUUUCUUAAUUUGAUAUUUUUCAACGUUUUUA